AUUGAACGCUGGCGGCAUGCCUUACACAUGCAAAUCGAACGGUAACGGGCCUUCGGGUGCCGACGAGUGGCGCACGGGUGAGUAAUACAUCGGAACGUGCCCGAUCGUGGGGAUAACGAGGCGAAAGCUUUGCUAAUACCGCAUACGAUCUACGGAUGAAAGCAGGGGACCGCAAGGCCUUGCGCGGACGGAGCGGCCGAUGGCAGAUUAGGUAGUUGGUGGGAUAAAAGCUUACCAAGCCGACGAUCUGUAGCUGGUCUGAGAGGAUGAUCAGCCACACUGGGACUGAGACACGGCCCAGACUCCUACGGGAGGCAGCAGUGGGGAAUUUUGGACAAUGGGCGCAAGCCUGAUCCAGCCAUGCCGCGUGCAGGAUGAAGGCCUUCGGGUUGUAAACUGAUUUUGUACGGAACGAAAAGCCUUCUUUUAAUACAGGAGGGUCAUGACGGUACCGUAAGAAUAAGCACCGGCUAACUACGUG
rnacentral:rRNA from 1 species